rnacentral:rRNA from 1 species
GACGAACGCUGGCGGCGUGCUUAACACAUGCAAGUCGAACGGUAAGGCCCUUCGGGGUACACGAGUGGCGAACGGGUGAGUAACACGUGGGUGAUCUGCCCUGCACUUCGGGAUAAGCCUGGGAAACUGGUUCUAAUACCGGAUAGGACCACUGCCUGCAUGGGUGGGGGUGGAAAGCUUUUGCGGUGUGGGAUGGGCCCGCGGCCUAUCAGCUUGUUGGUGGGGUGAUGGCCUACCAAGGCGACGACGGGUAGCCGGCCUGAGAGGGUGACCGGCCACACUGGGACUGAGAUACGGCCCAGACUCCUACGGGAGGCAGCAGUGGGGAAUAUUGCACAAUGGGCGCAAGCCUGAUGCAGCGACGCCGCGUGAGGGAUGACGGCCUUCGGGUUGUAAACCUCUUUCAGCACCGACGAAGCGCAAGUGACGGUAGGUGCAGAAGAAGGACCGGCCAACUACGUGCCAGCCGCCGCAGUAA